GGAAGUGAAGAACAAAUAGAAUUGUGAAUCAAGGCUUUAAUGUUUUGACAUCAUGUACCUUAUUUUGCUUAUUGAUAUUCUGAUUCCA
rfam:Brassica rapa chromosome A3, whole genome shotgun sequence.